AUUGAACGCUGGCGGCAUGCCUUACACAUGCAAGUCGAACGGCAGCACGGGUGCUUGCACCUGGUGGCGAGUGGCGAACGGGUGAGUAAUACAUCGGAACAUGUCCUGUAGUGGGGGAUAGCCCGGCGAAAGCCGGAUUAAUACCGCAUACGAUCCACGGAUGAAAGCGGGGGACCUUCGGGCCUCGCGCUAUAGGGUUGGCCGAUGGCUGAUUAGCUAGUUGGUGGGGUAAAGGCCUACCAAGGCGACGAUCAGUAGCUGGUCUGAGAGGACGACCAGCCACACUGGGACUGAGACACGGCCCAGACUCCUACGGGAGGCAGCAGUGGGGAAUUUUGGACAAUGGGCGAAAGCCUGAUCCAGCAAUGCCGCGUGUGUGAAGAAGGCCUUCGGGUUGUAAAGCACUUUUGUCCGGAAAGAAAUCCUUGACCCUAAUACAGUCGGGGGAUGACGGUACCGGAAGAAUAAGCACCGGCUAACUACGUG
rnacentral:rRNA from 1 species